GCAGUCUCGUAAAUUCCCUGUUAAUUUAAUUCCCUGUUAAUUUAUCUGUUGUCUCAAUGUCGCCAAAAAAAUAUUACAUAAUUGAAUUCCCCCCUGAUAAAUACAAUUCAGUGCCUGUGGAGCUUGUUCCAAGUCACUGGGUUAUCCCCGCAGAGAAAGUUUGUCUCUGGCCACCAAACUCUGGGCCAAGUAUUAGAAAUUUGAUAAAAAAAGGGCACUGCUAUUCCUGAUGUCAAGUGGGGAAGAGUUAGCUACGCCAGGAUUAUUGGGAAUUACGAUGAUUAUGAAGUUGCGACAAAAAAACUUCAAGUAGCCGAGGACACUUCCAACUUGGAAAGUGAAACAGAACCAGAAAGCAGAUUAAGGAGCAAGAAGAUAAUUCCCGAUAUUCAGCCCAGCAGCACACGAGGGGAUGUAACGUCUUCAUCCGAUGAGGAGGAUAGCGACGCGAACAAAAACAGUCCUCCGUCUGGCUCACUUCUGGAUAAUUUGGAGCUGGACCAACCAUUGAGCAUUCCUGAAAUAAUUCCCGAAACUGAAGAGCAAAGCAAUCUACAAGUAGGAAAUCAAGUUGAAACUGGAGACACCUCUUUUGUUGUUGUAAAUUCGCAGGAGUUAAAUGAUUUACGGCUGUUGAUUUCAAGGACAACGCAAAGUGUGCUAACUUUGUUGGAAAAGCAGGCUGAAGACAUUAAAGACAUUAAGGCUUUACUGAUUAAUGUGAAACAAAGGCCGGAUGGUAGGAAGGCUCCCAAUUUCAGUGCCAUUCC